AGAAACUUUCUUCCAUACUUUUUUUUUCUUUCAUCGCCCAGCACACAGUUUGUUUGAUCCUGCACACACUCUUGAUUCUUGCUCACAUUUGGUUGCAUUUCUUAUGAGUUAAUCUUCGCAUCAGCCACUGUUUGGCUUCAACCAUUGCACACCUGACGUGUUAGACCGGGUUCACUAAUAAUGAACCGGUUCUGUAUCUUAGCCACUCCCCUCCCCCCCAACCCCUCUCCUCUCUCCCCUCUCGAAUUCAACAACCCCCUUCUUCCUCAUAUCCCUUUUGCCUGUGAAACCCUCAAUCCCCUCACAUUUCUAAUCCCUUUAUUGUUCUUCACUGUGAAUCCCUCACAUUUAUUCUUCUUCUUCUUCUUCACAUUUCUUCUUCUCUGUGAAUUGCGGAGUGGGGCUAAAGAAGUCGAGACCUUUAUCGAAUUUGCUUCUCUGGGAAGCGUGGAACUCAGGAAGGACUGAGGUUCUACUCAUUGCUGCCUAUGGCCAGGGCUUGAAGAAGCUAAACUCAUCAUGCAUGUCAGAAGAAUUGGAGCCUAACAAUGGCAAGUUGCCCUAGCAUCUCUCGUUAACUACAUCUAGAUGUUGAUGUGCCAGAUGUGCUGUGACUGCUUAUUAAAUGAGAAGUGGACCGACUAACAUAGCAGCACAAAAGACUCCUAUUGGAGUUUUGUUGAAUCUUGUGUAAUGAAAACAGCUUGUGCACUUCAAUCGACUUUGUAAACUUUAGGUGAAGUCUUGUGUAGUUGUGUUGCUCAAUUAUGAUCAUAUAAUCCAGAAUUCACGCUAGUUUUCUUU